rnacentral:rRNA from 1 species
GACGAACGCUGGCGGCGUGCUUAACACAUGCAAGUCGAACGAUGAAGAAAAGAAUCGAAGCUUCGGCAGAAAUUCAUUUCGGAUUAGUGGCAGACGGGUGAGUAACGCGUGAGCAACCUACCUCUUACAAAGGGAUAGCCUCGGGAAACCGGGAUUAAUACCAUAUAACAUUGUGACGAAGCAUUUCGAUGCAAUCAAAGCUACGGCGGUAAGAGAUGGGCUCGCGUCCCAUUAACCGGAUGGUGAGGUAACGGCUCACCAUAGUGACGAUGGGUAACCGGCCUGAGAGGGUGAACGGUCACACUGGAACUGAGACACGGUCCAGACUCCUACGGGAGGCAGCAGUGGGGAAUAUUGCUCAAUGGAGGGAACUCUGAUGCAGCGACGCCGCGUGAGUGAUGAAGGAAUUCGUUUCGUAAAACUCUGUUCUAUGGGAAGAAAAGGACUGUACCAUAGGAGAAAGCUCCGGCUAAAUACGUG